CCUACGGGUGGCAGCAGUGAGGAAUUUUGGUCAAUGGACGAGAGUCUGAACCAGCCAAGUAGCGUGAACGAUGACUGCCCUAUGGUUUGUAAACUUCUUUUAUAUGGGAAUAAAACGUUCCACGUGUGGGAUCUUGUAUGUACCAUAUGAUUAAGGAUCGGCUAACUCCGUUCCAGCAGCCGCGGUAAUAUGGAGGAUCCGAGCGUUAUCCGGAUUUAUUUGGUUUAAAGGGAGCGUAGGUGGAUUGGUAAGUCAGUUGUGAAAGUUUGCGGCUCAAACGUAAAAUUGCAGUUGAAACUGGCAGUCUAGAGUGCAGUAGAGGGGGGCGGAAUUCGUGGUGUAGCGGUAAAAUGCUUAGAUAUCUCGAAGAACUCCGAUGGCGAAGGCAGUUCACUGGACUGCAACUGACACUGAGGCUCGAAAGUGUGGGGAUCAAACAGGAUUAGAUACCCCAGUAGUC
rnacentral:rRNA from 1 species